rnacentral:rRNA from 1 species
CCGCGGUAAUACGGAGGGUGCAAGCGUUGUUCGGAAUUAUUGGGCGUAAAGGGCGCGUAGGUGGUUGUGAUAGUCAGAUGUGAAAUCCUUCGGCUCAACCGAAGAACUGCAUCUGAAACUUCAUAGCUCGAGUACAGGAGAGGGAAACGGAAUUCCCGGUGUAGAGGUGAAAUUCGUAGAUAUCGGGAGGAACACCAGUGGCGAAGGCGGUUUCCUGGCCUGAUACUGACGCUGAGGCGCGAAAGCGUGGGGAGCAAACAG